AUAUUUGUAUUCGUUGGGUAUUGUCUAAUACCUUAUUAGUUUUAUAAUUUAGUAUCAAAUGAUUGUUAAAUGGUUUAGGGGUGUUGGUGGCAUUGUUAAGCUCAUUUGACACUUGUUAGCAUGGUGAAUGUAUUAUGGGGUGUAUCAUAUAUUUACUUAAACAUUCUAAGGGAUUCAUAUGUUGAUAUGGUAGCUUGUGGCUAGGUAACAAGCCGGUCAAAUAGGAGGUGCCGAAACCGUAAGUUUGGUGUAUAUCUCGGUCGAUGCAAAGGUGAGUGUGUCUGAUAUGGUUCUUCCUAAUAAAAUGUUGCUGUGGUGGCAGCAGGUUGCGUAGAGUGGGUCCACUACCGGUCAUCGUGUUGAGAAGUGUUUGGGCUAGCGUCGAAUGAAGUGGAUAAUCGAGUUGGUUGUAGGUAGUGAACUAAAAAGUAGAUUUAUAUAAGUUAUAAAUAUGUUGUUGGUGGAUGUGUUGAAGUGUAGAAUUUUUAAAGUAUUGUAAAACUAUAUUGUGAUUUAGUUGUGCGAUGUCAUGGUUGGUUGGUCGAUACGUCGACUCAUUUUUAUGUUAAGGUGAUAAGUCUUCCGCUGGGUGUUUAUUCUGA